UACGAAGGGGGCUAGCGUUGCUCGGAAUCACUGGGCGUAAAGCGCACGUAGGCGGAUUGUUAAGUCGGAUGUGAAAGCCCUCGGCUUAACUGAGGAAGUGCACCCGAAACUGAGUAGCUAGAGUACGAAAGAGGGUCGCGGAAUUCCCGGUGUAGAGGUGAAAUUCGUAGAUAUCGGGAGGAACACCGGUGGCGAAGGCGGCGACCUGGGUCGAGACUGACGCUGAGGCGCGAAAGCGUGGGGAGCAAAUGGG
rnacentral:rRNA from 1 species